UUUCCGUAGGUGAACCUGCGGAAGGAUCAUUAUUGUAUAACCGAGGUGCGAGGGCUGUCGCUGACCCGAAAGGUCGUGCACGCCCGAGUGCCCUCACACACAUCCAUCUCACCCCUAUGUGCACCACCGCGUGGGUCCCCCUUUGGCUUGUUCGGAGGGGGGCUUACGUUUUCACACAAACUUUGUAUGCAGUGUAGCAUGUAUUUUUUGUUUUUGCGAUCACGCAAUCAAUACAACUUUCAACAACGGAUCUCUUGGCUCUCACAUCGAUGAAGAACGCAGC
rnacentral:misc_RNA from 1 species